GAAUAAUUCGGGCGCUAACCACAAGGCUGUUUACUGUUUUUUUUCGCUUGAGUACAUCGAACUUGGCGAUAGCUAAUCCAUCAAAUAUCCAAGAAAUGCUUCUAAACUCGAAUUUCCCAUUUAAGAAUAAUCCAUGGCUUAAUUUCAGUAAAAAAAUGUCAAAAAAUAAAGACUCAAUUUGGAAUUGAUGGGAAUGGAAAAGAUAAAAACGCGUGUGUUCAAAGAAUAUUACAUGCCUCUGCGGCUCCACCUGGAAGAAGACUUUUGACGAAGAUUCCUCCAAGGUCACUGCCACCCUGAAAGAAGAAAACAAAUGCAAUAGGAUAUUCCAAUGAUGAGCUGUGGAUUGAGGUCUACGUGAAGCCAAAUGUCAUCAAGACAAAGAAAGUAAAUUAAUGAAAGAUCACGUGGCAUCGGUGCGAUGUUAUUAAUAGCAAGCAGUUAUUAGAUGGAAAUAAUGUGUAUUUGAAAACAAAGGUUAAAUAAAAGGAUUAAAAGAA